rnacentral:rRNA from 1 species
AAUGGGGAAACCCAGUGUGAUUCGUCACACUAUCAUUAACUGAAUCCAUAGGUUAAUGAGGCGAACCGGGGGAACUGAAACAUCUAAGUACCCCGAGGAAAAGAAAUCAACCGAGAUUCCCCCAGUAGCGGCGAGCGAACGGGGAGCAGCCCAGAGCCUGAAUCAGUGUGUGUGUUAGUGGAAGCGUCUGGAAAGGCGUGCGAUACAGGGUGACAGCCCCGUACACAAAAAUGCACAUACUGUGAGCUCGAUGAGUAGGGCGGGACACGUGGUAUCCUGUCUGAAUAUGGGGGGACCAUCCUCCAAGGCUAAAUACUCCUGACUGACCGAUAGUGAACCAGUACCGUGAGGGAAAGGCGAAAAGAACCCCGGCGAGGGGAGUGAAAAAGAACCUGAAACCGUGUACGUACAAGCAGUGGGAGCACGCUUAGGCGUGUGACUGCGUACCUUUUGUAUAAUGGGUCAGCGACUUAUAUUCUGUAGCAAGGUUAACCGAAUAGGGGAGCCGAAGGGAAACCGAGUCUUAACUGGGCGUUAAGUUGCAGGGUAUAGACCCGAAACCCGGUGAUCUAGCCAUGGGCAGGUUGAAGGUUGGGUAACACUAACUGGAGGACCGAACCGACUAAUGUUGAAAAAUUAGCGGAUGACUUGUGGCUGGGGGUGAAAGGCCAAUCAAACCGGGAGAUAGCUGGUUCUCCCCGAAAGCUAUUUAGGUAGCGCCUCGUGAAUUCAUCUCCGGGGGUAGAGCACUGUUUCGGCAAGGGGGUCAUCCCGACUUACCAACCCGAUGCAAACUGCGAAUACCGGAGAAUGUUAUCACGGGAGACACACGGCGGGUGCUAACGUCCGUCGUGAAGAGGGAAACAACCCAGACCGCCAGCUAAGGUCCCAAAGUCAUGGUUAAGUGGGAAACGAUGUGGGAAGGCCCAGACAGCCAGGAUGUUGGCUUAGAAGCAGCCAUCAUUUAAAGAAAGCGUAAUAGCUCACUGGUCGAGUCGGCCUGCGCGGAAGAUGUAACGGGGCUAAACCAUGCACCGAAGCUGCGGCAGCGACGCUUAUGCGUUGUUGGGUAGGGGAGCGUUCUGUAAGCCUGUGAAGGUGUGCUGUGAGGUAUGCUGGAGGUAUCAGAAGUGCGAAUGCUGACAUAAGUAACGAUAAAGCGGGUGAAAAGCCCGCUCGCCGGAAGACCAAGGGUUCCUGUC